GACGAACGCUGGCGGCGUGCCUAAUACAUGCAAGUCGAGCGGACAGAAGGGAGCUUGCUCCCGGAAGUCAGCGGCGGACGGGUGAGUAACACGUGGGCAACCUGCCUGUAAGACUGGGAUAACUUCGGGAAACCGGAGCUAAUACCGGAUAGGUUCUUCCCCCGCAUGGGGGAAGAUGGAAAGACGGUUUAGGCUGUCACUUACAGAUGGGCCCGCGGCGCAUUAGCUAGUUGGUGGGGUAAUGGCCCACCAAGGCGACGAUGCGUAGCCGACCUGAGAGGGUGAGCGGCCACACUGGGACUGGGACACGGCCAAGACUCCUACGGGAGGCAGCAGUAGGGAAUCUUCCGCAAUGGACGAAAGUCUGACGGAGCAACGCCGCGUGGGCGAAGAAGGCCUUCGGGUCGUAAAGCUCUGUUGUCAGGGAAGAACAAGUGCCAGAGUAACUGCUGGCACCUUGACGGUACCUGACCAGAAAGCCACGGCUAACUACGUGCCAGCCGCCGCCGUAACAC
rnacentral:rRNA from 1 species